rnacentral:rRNA from 1 species
UACGGAGGGUGCAAGCGUUGCUCGGAAUUAUUGGGCGUAAAGGGUAGGUAGGUGGUCUUAUUUGUCUGGGGUGAAAGCCUUGAGCUUAACUCAAGAAGUGCCCCAGAAACGGUGAGACUAGAGUCUUGGAGAGGGUCGUGGAAUUCCCGGUGUAGCGGUGAAAUGCGUAGAGAUCGGGAGGAACACCAGAGGCGAAGGCGGCGACCUGGACAAGUACUGACACUCAAAUACGAAAGCGUGGGGAGCAAACAGG